CUUACCCGGCAAGGUUCACCUUCCCUAGGGCUCAUGGAGACUCCUCAGGUGCGCUAGCUCCUAAUUAUUCCAAUUCAACAGCAUGCACAGGGCGAGGAAAGAGCCAGGUUUAUCUGGUGAAUUGAUUGCUGAGCACGUAGAUCCCGUCUUAAGGCCGAUGGGCAUCAGGUGAGGUUGCUGCUGUGAUCCCCUUCCGGUUGCUAUCCCAACUUGCGGAGUCCGGACUGGCCCUCCUCUUUCAGCCCUACUGUCCCGUGAACCUUCUCAGCACCGCAGCAAGAAAGGAAAGGGCUGAACCUGCCAGAACCAAGGGUCCAUGAACAGUGACAGAUCUGGAGAAUGACCAAAGGCCCAUGACUGUCCUCCAGACGGAAUGGAAAGAUAUCACAGUGGGAUGGAGGCAAGAAAGCCAGAUCAGAGAUUAAUGCCUCUCUCCUGGGCUGAGCUUGCCCUGGCGACACGCAAGCCCUUCUAGGUCCGAGAAAUGGGAUAAUGAGAUGCCCAAUUAAGGUGAAGUUCCUUGAAUGCUGGCUCCAGCAACACCACCUGGCUUGCAGGAAAGAGCUUUCAACUGGUGAUGGGACAAGGAACAGAUGACCUUGGGGACCAUUGUCCUUUCUUGCAUCUGAAUGGCCAUUCUCAGGGCAGCUCUGGACAGAGGCAGCUUCAAGGCAAACAAAACGUGGCUCCUUGGUCUCUGGCAGGUGAGGGAGAGGACCCCAAAAAGCCUCCUUGGAGAAUUAGGGUCUUGCAGCUGUGUACCCUGUCACAAGCUGCCUUUCAGACUGUAACUGGCCCUAACACUGGAGGGAGCUGGGAAGCUCUCAAGACAGAAGUAACAUCCUCCUCCUGCCUCCCAAAAAAGGUAGAGACAGAAGAGCUUCAUCCAUAAUAAAUGUAAUGAAGGUCAUCAUUCAUUAAAGGUUAAGUGUUUGAAGUGUAUUAUUCACUUAUUCCCCUUAAAAAUAGACACAUUUAUA